rnacentral:rRNA from 1 species
UCAAGUGACUAAGUGCAUGCGGCGGAUGCCUUGGCGAUCACAGGCGAAGAAAGACGCGGCAGCCUGCGAAAAGCUGCGGGGAGCUGGCAAACGAGCUUUGAUCCGCAGAUAUCUGAAUGGGGGAACCCACACCGCAAGGUGUAUCCGUAGCUGAAUACAUAGGUUACGGAGGCGAACGAGGAGAACUGAAACAUCUAAGUAUCCUCAGGAAAAGAAAUCAACCGAGAUUCCGGCAGUAGCGGCGAGCGAACCCGGAGGAGCCCAGCUUUUGAUAGUACGAACUUUAGCCGAAAGGUCCUGGAAAGGCCUGCUAUAGUGGGUGAUAGCCCCGUAGGCGAAAGAGUUCGUACGGUACUAAGGAAGCGAGAAGUAGAGCGGGACACGUGGAAUCCUGUUCGAAGAUGGGGGGACCAUCCUCCAAGGCUAAAUACUCGUGAUCGACCGAUAGUGAACCAGUACCGUGAGGGAAAGGCGAAAAGAACCCCGGGAGGGGAGUGAAAUAGAACCUGAAACCGCAUGCAUACAAACAGUAGGAGCCUCACCAGAGGUGACUGCGUACCUUUUGCAUAAUGGGUCAGCGACUUACAUUCUGUGGCGAGCUUAACCGAAUAGGGGAGGCGCAGCGAAAGCGAGUUCGAAAUGAGCGUCCAGUCGCAGGGUGUAGACCCGAAACCAGAUGAGCUAUCCAUGGCCAGGUUGAAGGUGUGGUAACACACACUGGAGGACCGAACCGACUAGUGUUGCAAAAUUAGCGGAUGAGCUGUGGAUAGGGGUGAAAGGCCAAACAAAUCUGGAGAUAGCUGGUUCUCCCCGAAAACUAUUGAGGUAGUGCCUCGUGUGUCGCUCCAGGGGGUAGAGCACUGUUUUGGCUAGGGGGACAUGGAGUCUUACCAAACCAAGGCAAACUCCGAAUACCUGGAAGCGUAAGCACGGGAGACAGAGCACCGGGUGCUAACGUCCGGACUCAAAAGGGAAACAACCCAGACCGCCGGCUAAGGUCCCCAAUAACAGCUAAGUGGAAAACGAAGUGGAAAGGCCGUGACAACCAGGAAGUUGGCUUAGAAGCAGCCAUCCUUCAAAGAAAGCGUAAUAGCUCACUGGUCGAGUCCUUCUGCGCGGAAGAUGUAACGGGGCUAAGCUGUUAACCGAAGCCGCGGAUGCACUGGUUAUCCAGUGCGUGGUAGGGGAGCGUUCUGUAAGUCUGCGAAGGCGGUUCGAGAGGACUGCUGGAGAUAUCAGAAGUGCGAAUGCUGACAUGAGUAACGUUAAAGCAGGUGAAAAGCCUGCUCGCCGUAAGCCCAAGGAUUCCUGCUCUACGUUCAUCGGAGCAGGGUGAGUCGGCUCCUAAGGUCAGGCCGAAAGGCGUAGCCGAUGGGAAUCAGGUUAAUAUUCCUGAACCUGCGUCAGAUGCGAUGGGGGGACGGAGCAUGGAAGAUCAUCCGGGUGUUGGAAGUCCCGGUUGUUUAGCGUAGGAGGUCUGCAGGCAAAUCCGCAGACGCAUCUCCAAGGCAAAGACACGUGCCGCCACGGCGGCGAAGUGAUCGGAAGUGCUUCCAAGAAAAGCCUCUAAGCACCAGUCUGAUGCGGACCGUACCGCAAACCGACACUGGUGGGCGAGCUGAAUAUGCUCAGGCGCUUGAGAGAACUCGGGAGAAGGAACUCGGCAAAUUGACACCGUAACUUCGGAAGAAGGUGUGCCGUAGUACCGUGAGAGGAGAGACACCUUGAGCGGGAAACGGUCUCAGAGAAUAGGUGGCUGCGACUGUUUAUUAAAAACACAGCACUCUGCAAAGUCGAAAGACGACGUAUAGGGUGUGAUGCCUGCCCGGUGCUGGAAGAUUAAUUGAUGGGGUGAGAGCCCUUGAUCGAAGUCCCAGUAAACGGCGGCCGUAACUAUAACGGUCCUAAGGUAGCGAAAUUCCUUGUCGGGUAAGUUCCG